rfam:Oryza sativa (indica cultivar-group) chromosome 5, whole genome shotgun sequence.
AAUAAAGCAAACCCUGAAUUUCCGUGUCUAACUUUGACUAUCCGUCUUAUAUAAAUUUUUUUAUAAUUCAUAUUUUUAUUGUUGUUAGAUGAUAAAACAUGAUUAAAAUUUUAUACAUAACUUGUCUUUUUAUUUUUUUUAUAAUUUUUUUAAAUAAGACGGACAGUCAAACGUUGGACACGGAAAUAGGGUUUUUCUUUUU